GGGAAGAUGGGUGAGAGUCAGCUCUCUGAGUGCUUGGCGGCAGGCGGUCAGCUCAGCUGGUGGGAACAGCAGGACGGUGUGGACGUCAGCCUGGCACGGGGCAGGGGUGCCCCUCAGCAGAAUGGCAUGGGGGCUGUGGCAAGCUCCCCUCCAUCUCUGGUCCCUGGAGUCAGACUAGACCUUCGCCGCAUCCGGCUCGAAGGCUCGGAUGGAUGAUGGAUUGCCCGGCCCAUCUUCCCCGGGGGGUUGGAUCUGAGACCAUCAGCAUCCAGCAGCCGUGAGUGUGAUGGAUGAACCGAGGCCAGUCACCUAGUGGGGAAACGACAUCUCACAUUUAAAGAACACCAGGCGUUUCUACACAGCGGGGGAAGGAAAUCCGUCCUGAUUUUAAACUUUGGCACAGCUGUGAAACCGAGGGUAGUGAACUCUGAGGAGAGGACUCUUUUCUAAUCCUGGCUGUGGCCUCAUGAAACAGGUGCUGUUAAAAUCAGCUGCAUUGGAAACAGCCGAGUCAGGCAACGAAGGCACAGAGAGGUUAGACAACUUGUGGAAAAUCACGCAGCACCGGUGCCUCCACAUUCACACUCCGCCCCUCCGUGUCCUGCAAUCCUGACCAGCCCCACGUUCCCCAGGACAAGCCGCCAGCAUCCCGGAAGGGGUUAAUCCCUCUCUGGUGGGUCAGCUCCUGCCACUCUCCCGAGUGCUUUUGCACAUGGUCUGGUCGCAAUGUGCCCAAGACGGCCCUGUGCUGGGGAGGAAAGCGCUUACAUAAUCCUCCCCGAGUGUCUUCUCUCUCAGGCGGCAUGCACACCCCACUUGGGUUGCAACACAGGCAAGCAGAUGCCAGGAAAUUCUGAGGCUGCUGCUGAGCCUGGGCUGGGUGAGGCCCAGACCUGAGACCCCCUCACCUGUGUGGGCCCUUGGCUUCCUCUGUGCCCCUCCUGAGCGGGGUCCCUGGCACAGACUCUUGUUCAGACCGUGCAAGGUAGGUGCGUGGUCAGGAGCCCACGGCUCAGGACAGAAGCCAUUUGGGGAACCAGCGGGACCUCCAGCGGCUUGGAGGAGGCUGAGUGGGAAGCACGUUCCUACCCAGGCUGAGCACUUCACACAGGGGGCUGGGCCAGAGGGAGAGCUGCCUGCCCCGGAGACCCCUACCUGCCUUCCUGUGCUGGCACAGCCAUGCCCAGCCUCCGCUGGACAGCUUGGACUGAGGUUUCCUUGUGGUGGCCCCUCCCCAGAGUGUCUCCCGGGGGCACAGGCCCUGGCGGCAUGCACGUCACCCGGGGGGCUUUUAACAGAGACCAGCAACCCUCCCACAGAGGACUGGGGAGCCGGCCCGUGGCUGGCGUGGGGGAGGCAGGCACUACCCAGCCAUGCCGGGUGGACAGGCAUUUUCCACAGCUCGGGAAACGGAGCCGGGCCAGGAAGGUUGGAGCUCAGCUCUUGGGUGAGAGCCGCGGAGCCCUGGCUGAGCCUCACCUGCGCUCGGAGCCCGUUUCCUUUUCUGUCAAAUUCACAAUGGGAUCUGGCCCUUGACUCCACCCCAGCAGCACCAAAGACACCGCC
rnacentral:lncRNA from 10 species